rnacentral:rRNA from 1 species
AUUGAACGCUUGCGGCAGGCCUAACACAUGCACGUCGAGCGAGCGGCGGACGGGUGAGUAAUGUAUGGGGAAUGCCAGAUAGAGGGGGAUAACUACUGGAAACAGUAGCUAAUACAGCAUACUAUCGGAUAACCCAUAUGGGAUGAGCUAGUAGGUGAGGUAAUGGCUCACCUAGGCGACGAUCCCUAGCUGGUCUGAGAGGAUGAUCAGCCACACUGGGUAUGAGACACGGCGCAGACUCGUACGGAGGCAGCAGUGGGGAAUAUUGCAAAAUGGGCGCAAGACUGAUGCAGCCAUGCCGCGUGUAUGAAGAAGGCCCUAGGGUUGUAAAGGACUUUCAGUCGGGAGGCGUUACCGACAGAAGAAGCACCGGCUAACUCCGUGCCAGCAGCCGCGGUAAUAC